UACGUAGGGGGCAAGCGUUGUCCGGAAUUAUUGGGCGUAAAGAGCGUGUAGGCGGCCAGGUAGGUCUGCUGUGAAAACUCGAGGCUCAACCUCGAGACGUCGGCGGAAACCAUCUGGCUAGAGUCCGGAAGAGGAGAGUGGAAUUCCUGGUGUAGCGGUGAAAUGCGCAGAUAUCAGGAAGAACACCCGUGGCGAAGGCGGCUCUCUGGGACGGUACUGGCGCUGAGACGCGAAAGCGUGGGGAGCGAACAGG
rnacentral:rRNA from 1 species